rnacentral:rRNA from 1 species
GAUGAACGCUGGCGGCGUGCCUAAUACAUGCAAGUCGAGCGAACAGACGAGGAGCUUGCUCCUCUGACGUUAGCGGCGGACGGGUGAGUAACACGUGGAUAACCUACCUAUAAGACUGGGAUAACUUCGGGAAACCGGAGCUAAUACCGGAUAAUAUAUUGAACCGCAUGGUUCAAUAGUGAAAGACGGUUUUGCUGUCACUUAUAGAUGGAUCCGCGCCGCAUUAGCUAGUUGGUAAGGUAACGGCUUACCAAGGCGACGAUGCGUAGCCGACCUGAGAGGGUGGGCGCCAACACGGGAGGUGACACCGGGUCCGGCCUCCUAGGGGAGGCGGAAGGAGGAAUCCUUCGGAAGGGGGCGAAAGUUGGACGGAACAACGCCGCGUGAGUGAUAAGGGUUUGGGGAUCAAAAAACUUUUUUAUGGGGAAAAAAAAAGUGUGAAAGUAACUAUCCACGUCUUGAGGGUCCCUAAUAAGAAACCCAGGGCUACCUACGGC